UUAAGUUCAGCGGGUAUCCCUACCUGAUCCGAGGUCAACCUUAAAAGGGGGGAGUUCUGGCAAGCAACCACCCGGAACUCUGUAGCGAGAAGAAUUACUACGCUUAGAGCCAGAUGGCACCGCCACUGAUUUUAAGGGCCGAGAAACCUCGCACCCCAAGACCAAGCCGAGGCUUGAGUGGUUAUAAUGACGCUCGAACA
rnacentral:misc_RNA from 1 species